rnacentral:rRNA from 1 species
GGGAAUUCCCAGUGUAGCGGUGAAAUGCGUAGAUAUCGGGAAGAACACCAGUGGCGAAGGCGCUCUACUGGGCCACAACUGACGCUCAUGGACGAAAGCUAGGGGAGCGAAAGGGAUUAGAUACCCCUGUAGUCCUAGCUGUAAACGAUGGACACUAGGUGUUGCGCGUAUCGACCCGUGCAGUGCCGUAGCUAACGCGUUAAGUGUCCCGCCUGGGGAGUACGCACGCAAGUGUGAGAGUCAAAGGAAUUGACGGGGGCCCGCACAAGCGGUGGAGUAUGUGGUUUAAUUCGAUGCAACGCGAAGAACCUUACCAGGGUUUGACAUCCCUCGAAUCUCUGUGAAAGCGGAGAGUGCCUUCGGGAGCGAGGAGACAGGUGGUGCAUGGCUGUCGUCCGCUCGUGGCGUGAGAUGUUGGGUUAAGUCCCGCAACGAGCGCAACCCACGUUUUCAGUUGCCAGCAUUAAGUUGGGGACUCUGGAGAGACUGCCGGUGACAAACCGGAGGAAGGUGUGGACGACGUCAGGUCAUCAUGCCCCUUACAUCCUGGGCUACACACGUACUACAAUGGUUAGGACAAAGGGCAGCGAAGCCGCGAGGUGGAGCAAAACUCAUAAACCUAGCCUCAGUUCAGAUUGCA